GCUCGCUUGGGCAGCACAUACUAAAAGUGGAAUGAUACAGAGAAGAUUCGCAUGGCCCCUGUGCAAGGAUGACACGCAAAUUCGUGAAGUGUUCCAUAUUUUU